rnacentral:rRNA from 1 species
GACGAACGCUGGCGGCGUGCCUAAUACAUGCAAGUAGAACGCUGAAGGAGGAGCUUGCUUCUCUGGAUGAGUUGCGAACGGGUGAGUAACGCGUAGGUAACCUGCCUGGUAGCGGGGGAUAACUAUUGGAAACGAUAGCUAAUACCGCAUAAUAUUGACUAUUGCAUGAUAUUCAGUUGAAAGGUGCAACUUCACCACUACCACAUGGACUUUCGUUGUAUUAGGUAGUUGGUGGGGUGACGGCUCCACAAGGCGACGAUACAUAGCCGACCCGAGAGGGGGGUCGGCCACACUUGGAACGGGACCAGGCCCCGAAUUCUAAGGGAGGGCGCCGGAGGGAAUCUUCGGCAAUGGACGGAAGUCUGACCGGGGAACGCCGCGUGAGUGAAGAAGGUUUUCGGAUCGUAAAGCUCUGUUGUAAGAGAAGAACGAGUGUGGGAGUGGAAAGCUCACACUGUGACGGUAUCUUAACAGAAAGGGACGGCUAACUACGUG